rnacentral:ncRNA from 1 species
GGGAGCCGAGUGCGGUGAAAGUCGCACGCUCGGCUCUAAGAGAGAGGUGCGGAGGAUAAUAUCUCCCAUCGACUCUAC